rnacentral:rRNA from 1 species
GNAAUUAUUGGGCGUAAAGCGCGCGCAGGCGGAUAGGUCAGUCUNUCUUAAAAGUUCGGGGCUUAACCCCGUGAUGGGAUGGAAACUGCCAAUCUAGAGUAUCGGAGAGGAAAGUGGAAUUCCUAGUGUAGCGGUGAAAUGCGUAGAUAUUAGGAAGAACACCAGUGGCGAAGGCGACUUUCUGGACGAAAACUGACGCUGAGGCGCGAAAGCCAGGGGAGCGAACGGGAUUAGAUACCCCGGUAGUCCUGGCCGUAAACGAUGGGUACUAGGUGUAGGAGGUAUCGACCCCUUCUGUGCCGGAGUUAACGCAAUAAGUACCCCGCCUGGGGAGUACGACCGCAAGGUUGAAACUCAAAGGAAUUGACGGGGGCCCGCACAAGCGGUGGAGUAUGUGGUUUAAUUCGACGCAACGCGAAGAACCUUACCAGGUCUUGACAUUGAUGGACAGAACUAGAGAUAGUUCCUCUUCUUCGGAAGCCAGAAAACAGGUGGUGCACGGUUGUCGUCAGCUCGUGUCGUGAGAUGUUGGGUUAAGUCCCGCGACGAGCGCAACCCCUAUCUUAUGUUGCCAGCACGUAAAGGUGGGAACUCAUGAGAGACUGCCGCAGACAAUGCGGAGGAAGGCGGGGAUGACGUCAAAUCAUCAUGCCCCUUAUGACCUGGGCUACACACGUACUACACUGGGAGUUAAUAGACGGAAGCGAGAUCGCGAGAUGGAGCAAACCCGAGAAACACUCUCUCAGUUCGGAUCGUAGGCUGCAACUCGCCUACGUGAAGUCGGAAUCGCUAGUAAUCGCAGGUCAGCAUACUGCGGUGAAUACGUUCCCGGGCCUUGUAC